rnacentral:rRNA from 1 species
UGGGGAAUCUUGGACAAUGGGGGCAACCCUGAUCCAGCCAUGCCGCGUGAGUGAUGAAGGCCUUAGGGUCGUAAAGCUCUUUCGCCUGUGAAGAUAAUGACGGUAGCAGGUAAAGAAACCCCGGCUAACUCCGUGCCAGCAGCCGCGGUAAUACGGAGGGGGUUAGCGUUGUUCGGAAUUACUGGGCGUAAAGCGCACGUAGGCGGACCAGAAAGUUGGGGGUGAAAUCCCGGGGGCUCAACCCCGGAACUGCCUCCAAAACUAUUGGUCUAGAGUUCGAGAGAGGUGAGUGGAAUUCCAAGUGUAGAGGUGAAAUUCGUAGAUAUUUGGAGGAACACCAGUGGCGAAGGCGGCUCACUGGCUCGAUACUGACGCUGAGGUGCGAAAGUGUGGGGAGCAAACAGGAGUUAGAUACCCUGGGUAGUCCACACCGUAAAACGAUGAAUGCCAGUCGUCGGGUAGCAUGCUAUUCGGU